AGAGUUUGAUCAUGGCUCAGGACGAACGCUGGCGGCGUGCUUAACACAUGCAAGUCGAACGGUAAGGCCCUUCGGGGGUACACGAGUGGCGAACGGGUGAGUAACACGUGGGUGAUCUGCCCUGCACUUCGGGAUAAGCCUGGGAAACUGGGUCUAAUACCGGAUAGGACUCCUGGCUUCAUGGUUGGGGGUGUAAAGCUUUUGCGGUGUGGGAUGGGCCCGCGGCCUAUCAGCUUGUUGGUGGGGUAAUGGCCUACCAAGGCGACGACGGGUAGCCGGCCUGAGAGGGUGACCGGCCACACUGGGACUGAGAUACGGCCCAGACUCCUACGGGAGGCAGCAGUGGGGAAUAUUGCACAAUGGGCGCAAGCCUGAUGCAGCGACGCCGCGUGAGGGAUGACGGCCUUCGGGUUGUAAACCUCUUUCAAUAGGGACGAAGCGCAAGUGACGGUACCUAUAGAAGAAGGACCGGCCAACUACGUG
rnacentral:rRNA from 1 species